UCUGGGCAAGCUGUCCUGGGCCCCAGGCUGGUGGGGAGGGGGUAUCCAGCCAUGGCCAGCACAGCACUUCUGACGGCCCCACCAGCCUCUCUUGGCCUCUUUCCCUCUGGGUGACCCGUCCACACCUUCGGCUUCAGCUGGGCUGCCUCCCUGGGGCCUCUGUCUGCUUCCCGGGCUCCACAAGCAGGGUCCCUUGGCUCUGUUGUCCCCCAGCCCUGAGCUGCACCAUCAGCCCUGGUUCUGCCUGGCCCACAGCCAGGGCACAGCGUCCACAGCCACGUCCAGGUGGGGCUGACCCUAGUGGACACUGGUCCAGCCACGGCCCCUGUGCUGCCUGCCCUGGGGAAUCAGUGAGGGCUGGCAAGGGGCCUCUAGGGUGUUGAGGGCACAGGGUCAGGGCAGGGGGCCAAGUGGAUGGCUGCCCGUCAGCUGCCCACAAGGGCAGAGAUCAGUGUCAGAGUCUGGCCCUCCAUUCAGUCCUCUGCCCCAACUGCACUACGGGCUCCCUGCCCAUCACACCCUGUGUGAGCCACACACCUCCACUCCGGGCUCCCCUGCAGGGGGUUCGGGGCCAGCGCCGGCCAGGGGCUGACAGUCAGUGCAAAGUAGACGCCUGUCCUGAAGGGCAGUGGCUCUGCUGUACGAGGUUGUCACCGGCUGGAGGCUGAGCCAGGUGCAGCCCAGCGGCCCCUGCCACCGCUCACACAUUUGGCCACUUUGGUCUCAGGCCAGAAAUCCAAACGGAUGUCUGUGUGAAGUCUCCAUCGGCUGUUCUCUGAAGAGCAAACUCCCAACUGACAGUCCCCAAGCCAGCAGGCACCUGGCCGCCCCAAGGAGAUGGGGUGGGGGUUAGCCCCUUCCACAACAAGCUCACCAACACUGGCAGCAAGGAAAGAAAAUGGCAGUAAAAUCUGAAGGCGUCCUGAACCAAGGGGAGCAGGCUCCGCCUCCAGAGAGGAACCUGAAUCAAGUAAACCAUCACCCUCAGCCGCCCAGGGGCUGGUGCCUUCCCAGACCAGCGGGCAGGCCACAUGGGGGGGGGGGGGGCUGUAUCCACUGGGACCCCGUGGAAGAGCCAACCAAGGGGUCUGCCCUGGUCCAGGUGGCACCUGGUCCAGGUGGACAGUGCCUUGCCUUAGGUGAUGGGAUGGCCUGGAAACCUUGGUGCCGUCCCUGCUGCUGGCGGGGGGGGGGGGGGGGCCCUCAGAACCACCGCCCUGGGCCUGGCUGAGGAUCUGGAACCAUCUACUCCUCCUACCAUCCAGGAAGAUGAGCCUACACAGGCCCUGCCCCAACCCCAAGUGGCCAGCAGACGCGAGCGUAGGUCAGGGCCUGGGGCCGGGGCAGGUGGCCCCCAUAAACAGGACUCUCGUCCAGUGGCCCCUUAGCUGCCCAGUGUGCCCCACCCUGUCCAAACUCUGGCUCCCCACCAGGUCAUAGCCUCCCCCAGGUGAGGCUCCUACAGGCCCCCAGCCUGAGUCCUCCCCAAAUCUCCUGACCUCAGCACACGGGCCCGCCCCACUCACCCACUAGUAACGUGGCCACUGUGUGCGUCAUGCUGCCCGACAGGUGCGCUGGUGCGCCCGGCCCUCCCCCACGCUGGACUCGGGAGUAUUUCCUUUCUGCUGGGAAUGCAGCCCCCCACCCAGCUUUCCCAGCACUCGUCAGGAUGACACGGGGUCAAUUCAGCCCGAAGCCCACAUACCCCCGGAGGCCUGGCUUAGACAUCCGCUAACGAAACCCUUGGGUCUCUGUCACUUGUCUGUGUGCUGGUCUCCGCACAGCACUUGCUGCCAUCUGCUGUCUCCUGGGCAUCGGCUCCCUCCUGGAGCAGAAGCUGGGUGAGCACGCAGCCUUGCCUCCUUCCUCUCAGCACCUGUCGUGACGCCCAGAACCGAGGCCGGAAACAACUUCAGCUAGCGCGUGGGUGCGCAGGCAGGGCUGGCCUGCCUGGGGCUGGUCCCGUGGCUGGACGGAGGGGCAGAGGAUGGCUUGGCCUCUGCCGUCGAGGGGCGGUCCUCGUCCUCAUCCCCUCGCUGGCGGGUCCAAGGUUCCUGCAGGCCGUGGAUAUGACCCAGGCUGUCCUCUGCAAGAGCCUCCGUGUUCACUCCCAGCCCAAGCGGGAGCCCUUGGAAGCAGCGGUGAGCUGACAGGGGAGAAAAACAACAGAGGAAAGAAAGCCUGGUUUUGGCGCUCGCUGUGGUGGAUGUGCUCCCAACUCAGGCUGGUUGCCAGCCGCCGACGUGAAGUUACAGAAUGCCGAACCCCCGUCUUCAGUGGGGUGCACUCGCUGUGCACAGGCCUGGCUGCAGAGACCUCUGGGUGCCCUGGGGCAGGCCUCCAACCCUGGCUAAGAAGGAGCUGCCCCUGCACCCCACCCCCCAGGGCCUUGGGCCACACCCUAGAGCGGGGCCCACAGGGGCCCUGCUGGGACUGAAUUAGCCACCUGACCUUCCCACCUCCUGGACCAAAGCACAGCCAGAAGGUCAAGGCCCAGGAGGCAAGGAGGAUCCAGAUAAGACCUGUACCUCUCCCCAAGUGAGCCAGUAAGUGUGUCCUCGGCACGAAGCAUCCCAGCAGUACCCACACAGGCCUCACCUUACUCUGGGUGUUACUGGGAAGAGGGGGACCCACUCCUGGGUGGUGACCACAGCAUCUGGGUCCCUCAGUCCCUGGGCAGCCCCGCCAGUGACACACAGCUUCCCUCUGGCACCUGAAUCUCCACCCUGAAGCCCUCCUCCAAGGGUCAGCAAUGUUGUUGGCUGACUGAGUCCUGGCUGGAUCAGGGUCACUGUCUGAAGGAAUCCAGGCCUCUCCAGCUGCCCCACCAAGACUCCAGGGGGCCCUGGGAACACCCCCGGGCCCUCUCAGCAUCCCCGCGUUGUGGCUCACUCCUAUGCCUGCACAGCCUGGCGUCCUGUGUCCAGGUGCUGAAUCUGGCCUCAGGGCAGGGCUGGGAAUGCAGUGCGGCAGAAGAUUCUGUUAAAGGGACCCGCUGGGGGUGGGGGGGCGCCUCGGUGGCUCAGUCAGCUAAGUACCCAACUCUUGACUUCGGCUCAGGUCAUGAUGUCACAAUUCGUGACACAGUCCGGCUCUGCCCUGACAUGGAGUCUGCUUGGGAUUCUCUCUUUCCCUCUCUCUCUGCUCCUCCCUAACUCUCUCUGUCAAAAAUAACUAUUAAAAAAAGGGGGGACCCAGUGAGCUUGGUCCCCAAGGCAA